CCACCGUUGGCCCCAUCUCUGAGCUUUGGGCACUCCAGAGAACAAUGUAUUGGCUUCCUCAGUGAUGUGGCUUCUUCCACGGGAGAGCACUGAACUGUGAGCCACAGUGGCCCCAUCUGGUGGCUGUCCUGCCUACUUCCCAGCCUCGUGAUCUUGGGCAAGUCAAUUCCCAUCUCUGAGCCUCAAUUUCCUCAUCCCUCUCCUGGGCUGUGGUGGAGAUGACAGGGUCCAGUGGUCAGGAAGCAGGCUGACGGCUGCAAAAUACUUAUCUCUUCCCCCCACAACCAUCCUCACCAGAAUUUUGGCCAGAAACAAGAGGAGUCCUGUCCGAGGAGAGCCCGGCUGGCUGACUGGAAUCCCAAGACAUGCCAAGGUCCCUGGGAAAUGACAGGACACCCAGAUCUGCUGGGAGCAGAGUUCUCAUAGGGUCCCAGCUGAGCCCUGGAACUCCCCAGACCCCCUCUGCCACUCCAUCUCUGCGUCAGCCCAGCACCUGUGCCCUAUCCGGCUUUGGCCACCAUCUCCACCCUGGGGAGGGGGAGCAUAACCCCCUCCAGCCUGAGGUUGGCGCCAAGGUUUAGGAGCCAGCACAGAAGCCUCUGAGAGCCAUAAGGGUAGAAAAGGUUACCCGGUACUAAACCAGCCAGCCUCGGGGUGAUCUCAUCCACUUCCCAAGAUAAGCCCCCUCCCCCACCCUCUGGCCACUGGCCAACAGGUUAACAGAGAGACUCCCUCACUGGAAGCAACUCAGAGUGGCUGAAGCACAGAAGUGGUAGAGAGACAGGUCUCUAUUGCUCAGGCUGGAGUGCAGUGGCAUGAUCAUAGCUCACUGUAACCUCAAACUCCUGGGUUCAAGCGAUCCUUCUGCCUCAGCCUCCCAAGUGGCUGGAACUACAGGGGUGUGCGACCACUCCUGGCUCAUUUUGUUCAACAUUAUUUUGUUACAACAUUGAUGAAGAAAAAAAUCUAUUUCUGGCUGGGGCUACUGUCUGUGUGGAGUCUGUAGAGGACUUUCUCUGGGUACUCUGGUUUCUUCCCCCAUCCCAAAGAUGUGCAUGUUAGAUUAACUAGCUUGUCUGCAUGCUCCCAGUCUGCAUGAGUGUGAGUGUACUCAAGGCAAUGGCAUCCUGUCUAGGCCUGGUUCCCGCCUGGCGCCCUGAGCUGCUGGGAUAGGCUCCAGCCAUCCAUGACCUUGAACUGGAAUAACUGGAUAAAUAAUUCUAUUACUUGUUUUUAUUAAUCUUUCUUUCUUUCUUUUUUUUUUUUUUUUUUGAGAUGGAGUUUCACUCUUGUUGCCCACGCUGGAGUGCAAUGACACAAUCUUGGCUCACUGCAACCUCCGCCUCCUGGAUUCAAGAAAUUCUCCUGCCUCAGCCUCCUGAGCAGCUGGGAUUACAGGUGCCCACCACCAAGCCCGGCUAAUUUUUGUAUUUUUAGGAGAGACAGGGUUUCGCCAUGUUGGCCAGGCUGGUCUCAAAUCCCUGACCUCAGGUGAUCCACCUUCCCCAGCCUCCCAAAGUGCUGGGAUUACAGGUGUGAGCCACCACACCUGGCCUUGUUUCUAUUAGUCUUUCUUACACGUGUUUCAAUGUUUAAUAUGAGAAGCAUUUGGGUCUUUAUUUAGAAGUCUGAUGAUAUUUCUAUCACCAGAAAUAUGCUGUAGGAACUUAACUCUUGUUUAUGUCAAUUAGCCUAUGACAAAAUUGGUUUCCUUGUAUGUCAUUUUGCUUAAAGCUGCAAUUUCCAAGAACUACAUUAAGUGAGGACAUUAUAUAAAGACUUACUAUAUUCUAUUAGUUGUUGUCAGGCCUCUGAGCUCAAGCUAAGCCAUCAUAUCCCUUGUGACCUGCACCUAUACAUCCAGAUGGCCUGGAGCAACUGAAGAUCCAC
rnacentral:lncRNA from 10 species